rnacentral:tRNA from 1 species
UCCCUGGUGGCUCAGCUGGUAAAGAAUCUGCCCGCAAUGCAGGAGACCUGGGUUCAAUCCCCGGGUUGGGAA